rnacentral:rRNA from 1 species
UACGUAGGGUGCGAGCGUUGUCCGGAAUUAUUGGGCGUAAAGAGCUCGUAGGCGGUCUGUCGCGUCGAUCGUGAAAACUUGGGGCUUAACCCUGAGCUUGCGGUCGAUACGGGCAUGACUGGAGUUCGGCAGGGGAGACUGGAAUUCCUGGUGUAGCGGUGAAAUGCGCAGAUAUCAGGAGGAACACCGGUGGCGAAGGCGGUUCUCUGGGCCGAUACUGACGCUGAGGAGCGAAAGCGUGGGGAGCGAACAGG